rnacentral:rRNA from 1 species
ACGGAAUCCAUCCGGUGGUAACACCGGUGAAGAUUUAGUGGCGAACGGGUGCGUAGCACGUGAGCAACCUGCCCCAAAGACUGGGAUAACACCGGGAAACCGAUGCUAAUACCGGAUGCCCCCAUUGGUCCGCAUGGACCGAUGAGGAAAGGAAUCUGCUUUGGGAGGGGCUCGCGGCCUAUCAGCUUGUUGGUGAGGUAACGGCUCACCAAGGCGACGACGGGUAGCUGGUCUGAGAGGACGAUCAGCCACACUGGGACUGAGACACGGCCCAGACUCCUACGGGAGGCAGCAGUAGGGAAUCUUGCGCAAUGGGCGAAAGCCUGACGCAGCAACGCCGCGUGGGGGAUGAAGGCCUUCGGGUUGUAAACUCCUUUCAGUAGGAACGAAAUUGACGGUACCUACAGAAGAAGCCCCGGCCAACUACGUGCCAGCAGCCGCGGUGAUACGUAGGGGGCGAGCGUUGUCCGGAUUUAUUGGGCGUAAAGAGCUCGUAGGCGGCUUGGCAAGUCGGCGUGUGAAACCCCCAGGCUCAACCUGNGGACGCCACUC